GUCAGAGAAAGCCUUCAGGCAAAGAGAUUCAGGUGCUGGCAAUUGGGAAUCAUGUUUGCGUGUACUAAAAUAAUAACAGCUGAAGGGAUCCACGGGGCACCGCAGCUUCUACUCAAUUUGUUAUCAUUAGCAGAGCCUUUAAGGAGCAGAGCGUAGCCUGAUGGUCCCUCGAUGCUUGCUUGCCGAGCAGCCAAAGCCAACAGGCCCUCCUGGUGGAGCCAGCCAGUGGAGAAGAGCUGAGGGUUGUUGCAAGAGCUCAGAAGCUGGGCUGUGAACUUGAACAAGGAGCCUUGUGCCUGUUUCUGAUCUAGAGAUACCCCAUGACAGCAGAGCUUGAAGGGGCCAUGGCGUGGUUCAGUUGGAAUAAAAUGAGACAACUUCAGGACAAACUCCACUGCAGUUGGCAGUUGCAGACACCAGCACUUCCUACAGUUGUGCAUGAAAAAGCAUGGAGGUUGGAGUAUAAGAAGGAGUUGUAGGGUUUGCCUUGGAGGCCAUGGGUCACACAGUGGAAUGUCCAACAUGGAAAAGUAGCUGUCGGCUGAAAUUGCUGUUGAUGCCAAAGGGAGACAUGGCCACUCCUCUGGGAGAAAUCUUCCUCAUUGGAGAGAGACUGGGGAAAGCUCAGUACAACCACCUGUGUGGUGGUUGCCAUGGCAAUAGGGAUGCGCAGUGUCACACGGAGCCCCAGGGAACCAGGAAUGCCAGGAAACUUCACCAGCACUGACAGCAGACAUUCAGAAACUUCAAGAAUUAAAAGCAAAGGAAGGAGACGGAUAGGAAGAAGUCAAUUUUGCAAUGACACCUCCCAACAGGCUGCAAAUUCUUGAUAAAUUUAUGAACAGUUGCAAAUGUUUAGCAACAGUGUUGCCAAGACUGUCCUUGGAGAAAAGAUUCCAGAUGAGAAGGAUAUUUUUCAGCAAACUCUCUUGUCUGCAGGCUCAGGGAGAUCUGGCAGGGGCUGACAGCCAUGAAGCCCAACACAUAGGAAGCACCCACUGGCUUCUUCAAGCUUCUCACAAAAUGUGAUGCACGAUGCUUUCAUUCACAAUUACAGCAAAUAAAAGCAACAUGAUAAAAGAAUAGCAUUGGGAGGCCAUGUGCAUAACAUUAAUGAACAUGUUGCAAAUCUGUCUUUUGGUGAGCCUGACAGGCGAAGGCGGAGUUUGCUGGUUUGAGGUGUCACCACCCUGAGCUUGCCAGGGAUUCGGGGAGGGGUAUUAGAAUGAUAUUAUGGAAUAAUAGCUAAUUUUUUGAGGGCUUCCUCUAUGCCAGGCUCUGUGCUCUUUGCAGGCAAUACCAAUGAAAUGAGUUGUAUUAAUCCAAUUUUGUGCUGAACAAACUGAGGUUGGAAACAGGAGAAUUGAUAAAGGCUAAUAAACAGUUAACUCAUGCCUGAAUCUGUCAGAAUCUAUAGUUUCCUUGCUUUUUAAUUUUUAUAAAGUAUAAUUUACAUCUAGGAAGUUACUUCUUGUGUGAAUGUGAUGUUAUCACCUGUAUGUAUAUCCAUGAAAACACCAUGCAUAUCAAGAUAUGGAACAGUCCUAUCAUUCCAGAAAUUUCCCUCAUAUCCCUUCUCAGUUAUCAC
rnacentral:lncRNA from 1 species